UUUCUUAUCGAUCACUAGACG
rnacentral:miRNA from 1 species